rnacentral:lncRNA from 1 species
GCAGUAUUGUGGGCGGCUGAACCAGGUGGAGCGAGAUGCUGCUUUGCGCGGCCGGGUGCUGUUUCAUCGCGUCCAGGAGUGCGCUGGACCACUGGCAGCCUGGGCAGGCGGCAGCGGCAUUGGCAUUCUUACAAUUGUAAAAUGAAAGGGAUGCAACGGGCUAGGUAGAUCCUGGCUGGCCAGAGGGUUUCAUUAAUCUGCAGAAUAAGGGCUGGAACANAUCCCUUAGCAAAUCGGGCUGCAAGGUCCUGGCCACUUCAGCGUGCAAAGAUGCUGUUUAAGAGGGUCCUGAUGGACGUAUAUAAAAUCAUGUGCUGUAUGGACAAGGUGGACAGAGAGAAAGACCGGGAGCAGGGGGCACUCUGGGACGCUGCUGGGCAGGAGAGUGAGGACCGGCAAGAAAUUGCAUAUUGUGUACCUUUGUGAACUGAUUAGGAUCAAUCAAAUCUAACUUUCGCCGAAUGGUACUCUUGCAAGGAUGGUCAACCUCGAGGUUUUUCGCUGCUGAAGAGAUCNGAUGCCCCCAUCAGCCCAGCCCACGCAGCCAGAGAGCCACACAUUAUGCAGCCCUGCCCUGCUUAUGCUGUGCAGACAGCAGUAGAUAUCCAGGAAAAAAAAAUAUUCACUGUUGGUAAAGAUUCGUUUAGCAGAAACUCUCUGGACACUUGGCCUGGUAGGAUGAGUCAGCCAACUAGCCUCUUUCACGUAUGUACAUUUCAAGUCUCUCAGGGAAAAAGAAUCUGCUUAAAAACACACGUGGGUAAAGCAUUAGCUUUCCGAGAGAAAACACCACCUCGGAGCAAUGGUAAGAAGAACAAGAUGGGCACCGUGACAUUCUUUUUUUUUUCCAGAAUCCCAGUAGCAGCAAGCUGAAAAGAAACUCUUGUCCGACUUGGCUCUGGCCCUGACCCAUAUGGUUAUGGCCACACUCUGCCACGAUGAAGGUCCAAAGCAGCAAAAAGGAACCUGCUCAGCACGGGUUCCAGGCUCCUUGGCAGCAAAUGGACACAUGGACACCGGCCACAAAGUUACUCCAUCAUCUCUCCGUGAUAAAGAUGGACUCUUCUGUGUCAUCCUUCUCCUCCUCAGAGGCACCGUCAUCGUCCUCUUCGCUAGGUUGCUCCUUUGAAGAAUGGUCAGAAUCGGCAGCUACAAAAAAACAUGCAACAAUAAUAAUAGGAAAGAGUGGAACACUUAAUCCGUAGCUGGAAGAAGACAACACAAACUUUACAAAGACGACAUAGAAAGACAGAAUUAACUGACAACUAUGAUCCACUGGAACAUUGGUAAUGUAAUCCAUUUUCCAGUUACCUGUAUGCGCAUUUUUCUACUCAUUUUUACUCUUCUUUGCCAAUCAUUUCUUCUCUUUCAGUUUUUGCUUGCGAAGAAAGCCAAGAAGAGUUCAACAAAAAUCAAAAUCAUAAAGGCCUUAGUUGUUUAAUAUUUUUUCCCAUCCGGCAAAACUAGAAAGUUUCUGCGAGUUCUCAGAGAAAUCACCAAUAAAAUCCAUUCUUCAAUAGCUGUUUUUGUCGAA